UUGCUCUCUGCCGACGAGUGGCGAACGGGUGAGUAAUGCAUCGGAACGUGCCCAGUCGUGGGGGAUAACGCAGCGAAAGCUGUGCUAAUACCGCAUACGAUCUAUGGAUGAAAGCGGGGGACCUUCGGGCCUCGCGCGAUUGGAGCGGCCGAUGUCAGAUUAGGUAGUUGGUGGGGUAAAGGCUCACCAAGCCAACGAUCUGUAGCUGGUUUGAGAGGACGACCAGCCACACUGGGACUGAGACACGGCCCAGACUCCUACGGGAGGCAGCAGUGGGGAAUUUUGGACAAUGGGCGCAAGCCUGAUCCAGCAAUGCCGCGUGCAGGAAGAAGGCCUUCGGGUUGUAAACUGCUUUUGUACGGAACGAAACGGUCUGGGUUAAUACCCUGGGCUAAUGACGGUACCGUAAGAAUAAGCACCGGCUAACUACGUGCCAGCAGCCGCGGUAAUACGUAGGGUGCAAGCGUUAAUCGGAAUUACUGGGCGUAAAGCGUGCGCAGGCGGUUUUGUAAGACAGGCGUGAAAUCCCCGGGCUCAACCUGGGAAUUGCGCUUGUGACUGCAAGGCUAGAGUGCGGCAGAGGGGGAUGGAAUUCCGCGUGUAGCAGUGAAAUGCGUAGAUAUGCG
rnacentral:rRNA from 1 species